rnacentral:rRNA from 1 species
CACGUAGGUGGCAAGGUAAGUCAAAGGUGAAAGCCCUCGGCUCAACCGAGGAACUGCCUUUGAAACUGCUUUGCUUGAGUCCGGGAGGGGGGAGCGGAAUUCCCAGUGUAGCGGUGAAAUGCGUAGAUACUGGGAGGAACACCGGUGGCGAAGGCGGCUCCCUGGACCGGUACUGACACUGAGGUGCGAAAGCGUGGGUAGCAAACA